UUGCUCCAGCAGCACAUGUACUGAAAUUGGAACAAUACAGAAAAAAUUAACAUGGUCACUGUGCAAGAAUGACACCCAAAUUUGUGAAGCAUUCCAUAUUGUU